AAAACCCUUGGCUUUGAGGCAGAGAGAAUUAACUCUGACGAAAAUGAAUUCUAGCCGCUCGAUAUCCGCCGGCACUUGGCUUGUGAGGAAGCUUUGCACGGCGGUUGAGGCUGCGACGGAGUCGGCGCGGAGUCAGCCUGGAAAUCCCACUAGGCUGUACCGGAGGCUAUCGGCUUUGGGAGCCACCGGAGGCAGCGUGGCAAAGACGUUAAAUCAGUACAUUAUGGAGGGCAAAAUGUUGAAGAAGUACGAGCUCGAGAGCUGCAUCAAGGAGCUCCGCAAGUACCGCAAGUUCCAGCAUGCCUUAGAGAUAAUGGAAUGGAUGGAGUUUAGGAAAAUGAAUUACUCGAAAGCUGACUUUGCCAUACGUUUGGAUCUUACGUCCAAAGUGAAAGGGAUAGAGGCAGCUGAGGAUUACUUCAGCGGCCUAUCGCCGUCUUUAAAGGAUCGAUUUACUUACGGAGCCCUUUUGAACUGUUAUUGCAAGGAACUGAUGGAAGAAAAGGCAUUGGCUCUUUAUGAGACGAUGGAUGAGUUGGAGUUUGCUUCCUCUUCUUUGGUCUUUAACAAUAUCAUGUCUAUGCAUAUGAGAAAGCAGCAACCAGAGAAAGUGGCUCCUUUAGUGCAAGAAAUGAAGCAGAGGAACAUCCCUCUGGACACAUUUACGUAUAACAUCUGGAUGCAGAGCUUUGCGUCUUUAAACGAUUUUGAAGGAGUAGAAAGAGUCCUGGACGAGAUGCAAAAACAAGAUGGAAACCAAUGCAGUUGGUCAACAUAUAGUAACCUGGCUGCGAUUUAUGUAAAGGCUAAGAUUUUUGAUAAGGCUGAGCUAGCCCUUAAAAAGUCAGAGGAAAUGAUGAAACCCCUGAAGCAGCGCAAUACAUACCAUUUCUUGAUUAGCCUCUAUGCCUGCACUUCUAAUCUAGGUGAGGUCAAAAGGGUAUGGGAAUCCCUCAAGAAAGCUUUCCCAGCAACCAACAAUAUGAGCUAUCUUAUCAUGCUUCAGGCCCUCUGUAAGCUAAAUGAUAUUGAGGGCUUGAAAGAAUGUUUUGAGGAAUGGGAGUGCAAAUGCUCCAGUUAUGAUAUGCGACUGGCAAAUACUGCUAUACGUGGAUACCUCAGUCAGGACAUGUAUGAAGAAGCUGCAUUGGUCUUUGCAGAUGCCUGUAAGAGGACUAAAGGGCCUUUCUUUAAGGCUCGGGAAAUGUUCAUGCUUUACUUCUUGAAAAACUGUCAGGUGGAUUUGGCUGUUAGCUAUUUGGGAGCGGCUGUUUCAGAAACCGUGGAUGGGGAAUGGCAUCCAUCCCCAGAUACCACAAGUGCAUUUUUUAAGUAUUUUGAAGAAGAGAAAGAUGUUGAAAGUGCUGAGAACUUUUGCAAGAUUCUGAAGCGUCUAAAUUGCCUCUGUUCCAAUGAGUAUUAUUUGUUGCUUAAGACUUACAUAGCUGCUGGGAAAUCGGAUCCUGAGAUGCGUCAAAGAUUGAAGGAAGAAGAUAUUGAAAUAAGCCCCGAGCUUGAGAGUUUGCUUGAAAGGGUUUCCCCUGAGUAGAUUGACUGCAUAGAAGAGGGCCCUAUGAUUUUAACGCAUUUUCACUUCUUUAAAUUAUACACUGGAAUCUUUUAGUGUUCUUUUAAGAGUGCAUGUACCUUAUGAUUGCAUAAGUUGGGGCACCUAGGUUGGGACAACGUCUUUUCUUUGAUGCGGCUACUAUCGUAUCAAUAUGCAAGUAUGCAGCUAAUUCCUUAUGAAAACUCCGAGGGACAAAGAUUCAUGGUGUUUAAUUGGACUUCUGUAGGCUGCAUCUCACCCCUCGGCGCUCUUGAAUUCUGAGCCGCUUUUAGAGGUAGCUGUAAAUGAUAAAACAAUUUGGUUAAGCAGAUGUUUCUCUCUUUCUUCUUUUUGCCAGUGAUAAGCAGAUGUUUCUCAGGGAGCUGUAUUCGUCGACUAUUAUUAUUUGUAAAAUGUAUUAUCAUAAUUACUUCGUUCCUUAAUGAUUUCAGAUUCUUUGUUUUAAA